UUCAUAUACAGUAUGAGAUGAAUGAUAUAUCACCAUUCUUCACUUCUGUAGAAGCUAGCAACUUGCACCAUUUCUCGUGAAAAAAACAAGUGUUUUUUCAGCUAAGAAUGGCACCACAAAAACAGAAAUGCCUUGCCAAGAGAAGACAACAAACAACGCCUAUAAAAACGACUCUUAAGAAGAGCGUAAAAUCUCCUCGAAAGAAAUAUCGAGAAAUAAGGAACCCCUACGGUGUUAAAUGUGGAUGUGAAAGCCCUGGCAGCACGCCAAAAAACGCCAACUCCUCCAGGGGACAGAGAAGAAGCCAUCGCCGCUUAUGAAAAGCAAGCAGGCAGGCUUAUACCUUGCAGAAGCUUCUAACAUCACUUUUCUCCCAAAGACUAAGAUCUAAACGUGAUGUA